rnacentral:rRNA from 1 species
UACGGGGGGGAGCAAGCGUUGUUCGGAUUUACUGGGCGUAAAGGGCGCGUAGGCGGUCGUGACAAGUCACUUGUGAAAUCUCCGGGCUUAACUCGGAACGGUCAAGUGAUACUGUCGGACUAGAGUACAGAAGGGGCAACUGGAAUUCCCGGUGUAGCGGUGAAAUGCGUAGAGAGUCGGGAAGAACAUCGGUGGCGAAGGCGCUCUACUGGACCUCAUCUGACACUGAGGGACGAAAGCUAAGGGGAGCGAAAGGG